rnacentral:tRNA from 1 species
AUAGGAUAUUCUAAUAUUAAGAUAAAGGGCUCAUGUUCCUAAGAUGUGUUAUACACUCCUGUA